GCCAACGGCCAUACCACGUUUUGAACACACCAUUUCUCGUCUGAUCACUGAAGUUAAGCAACGUCGCGGCCCGCGUUAGUAUUUAGAUGGGUGACCGCCUGGGAACCCCGGGGGCUGUUGGAA
rnacentral:rRNA from 1 species